AAUAGAUACCCGGUAGUCCACGCCGUAAACGAUGGAUACUAGCUGUUUGAGCGCAAGUUUGAGUGGCUAAGCGAAAGUGAUAAGUAUCCCACCUGGGGAGUACGGGCGCAAGCCUGAAACUCAAAGGAAUUGACGGGGGCCCGCACAAGCGGUGGAGCAUGUGGUUUAAUUCGAUGAUACGCGAGGAACCUUACCAGGGCUUAAAUGUAGAUUGACGUAUUUGGAAACAGAUAUUUCUUCGGACAAUUUACAAGGUGCUGCAUGGUUGUCGUCAGCUCGUGCCGUGAGGUGUCAGGUUAAGUCCUAUAACGAGCGCAACCCCUGUUGUUAGUUGCCAGCGAGUAAUGUCGGGAACUCUAGCAAGACUGCCAGUGUAAACUGUGAGGAAGGUGGGGAUGACGUCAAAUCAUCACGGCCCUUACGUCCUGGGCCACACACGUGCUACAAUGGCCGGUACAGAGAGCAGCCACUUAGCGAUAAGGAGCGAAUCUAUAAAGCCGGUCACAGUUCGGAUCGGAGU
rnacentral:rRNA from 1 species